GCCGCCAUAACUCAGUCGGUUAGAGCGUGGGUCUAAUAAGCCCAAGGUCGCAGGUUCGACCCUGCUGGCGGCA
rnacentral:tRNA from 1 species